UACAGAGGUCUCAAGCGUUGUUCGGAUUCAUUGGGCGUAAAGGGCGCGUAGGCGGCUUGGCAAGUGGAAGGUGAAAUCCCUCGGCUUAACCGAGGAACUGCCCUCCAAACUGCUUCGCUUGAGACCGGGAGAGGUGAGUGGAAUUCCCAGUGUAGCGGUGAAAUGCGUAGAUAUUGGGAGGAACACCAGUGGCGAAGGCGGCUCACUGGACCGGUACUGACGCUGAUGCGCGAAAGCGUGGGGAGCAAACGGG
rnacentral:rRNA from 1 species